rnacentral:rRNA from 1 species
UACGUAGGGGGCAAGCGUUGUCCGGAAUCAUUGGCGUAAAGCGCGUGUAGGCGGCCCGGUAAGUCCGCUGUGAAAGUCGGGGGCUCAACCCUCGAAUGCCGGUGGAUACUGUCGGGCUAGAGUGCGGAAGAGGCGAGUGGAAUUCCUGGUGUAGCGGUGAAAUGCGCAGAUAUCAGGAGGAACACCAAUUGCGAAGGCAGCUCGCUGGGACGUGACUGACGCUGAGACGCGAAAGCGUGGGGAGCAAACAGG